UUCAUUGUUUUCAUUGUAAACCUUUAUUACUAUUUCAACAGUUUUCCAUACAAAGGCACGUGUGGUGAACACUCAUUCACAAAGAUGAGAUUGCAUAAUACAAACAUUGUUGCUUAUAUAAACAGUAUGCUAUUCAAAGCUAAAUAGAUAUAUUUGAUCUACAUUUAAGGAAAAGGGAGAUUUAGUGCAACUGAUUUAAUUAUUUUAGACCACAAUUCAUGGUUUUCAAGCCUCUGGACUGAUUUCAGAAGAGUGACUUUUUUUUGCUAGAGAUUAAAAACAUAAUUUCAAGCUUAUCCAGGCAGAUAAGUAAUUGUCUUGAGCACUGGGAUGUGCAUGAUUAUCAAAAGAAUACAUUUUCUAAAUUAGGCCAAGAUAGUCUCCCUUGAAUCAAUUGCAAAAGCGCUGCAUAGACAUAGAUUGUCUAAAGUAAUAUUUAAAAGAUUUGCAUAGAUUAUCAAUCGUAAUAAAAAAUUUGCCACUUCCCGAAAAUUAAUAUAGAAUGAAUUAGGCCCUGAUAGUACUUGCCUUAUUGCAUUUGGGUGCAUGUGUGUGUGCGGGCGUGUGUGUCGCUGUGUGUUAAUGUCAAGAACAGGAAAUUAAGGCAGUGUUUGAAGCCAAUGUAUUUGUCAUGUCUCACCCAAAGAUGUAUCAUUACACUAAAGCAGGUAACUAUUAUGUGCCAAACUGCUGUGCCUCAACGACUGCUAUAGGGAGCAGCUUUUAAUAGUGUGGCAUGUUCUGUAUACACGCAGAGCUACUUCCUGCUGAUCAAACACACUCCAACCAUCAGGAAUAUUAAAUGCUUGAGUCCACAUUUACUCAGACUCUGGCUCAUGGCUGCACAGUCGAAAGCUGCAAAUAUGAGAUUCAAUCCAUCCACUGAUGAAAAUGCUGUAUCCUGUCAUCUGUCACACACUCACACACACAUCCUGACUGUAAUUUCUGUUUCACUAUAUUAAUAACUGGAACGUCAGCACCUCAUAAACCAUUUCUCUUGAUGAUGUCUGAAGGAAUUUCUGUAAACUGAUGGCUCAAAACAUAAUCCAAAAUAAAUAUGAAAAGGUUUUUUUCCCCUAAACAAUAAAGAAAGGAAAAAAAGAGAACAGUUGCAUAGAGUAUAAAGACGACAGCUCACUCCUUCGCCAUUGUGUCAGCUGACACACGGAGCUGUCCAAUCGCAGUGCAGUAUUAUUCACUGCUGCCGUGGGUCUCACAUUCACAUGUCUUUUGAGUCCUAGCAACUAUAACAAAAGAGAAAAUGAGCAAAAUAUGGGCUACAAAUCAUCAAAUACAACCUACAUUAAGUGGAGCCUAUGACAGCUGAGGACAGAUUAUAUUCCUUCAUGUCUAAACAAUAUUUUUUUACAAUCAAAUAUAGGAUAAUAAUUACAAAAUUCAGUGCCACAUCUACAAAUAAAAGAAUUAAGAGUCACAAUUAUCAAGCAGUUCCUCCAGCCUUCGGGCUGAGUGUUGGUUCGAGCGAUGCAUCAAGGAGACAUACACAGCGUUCCACAGUUAUGGCAGGAAUCACUGCCGGCUCGCAUGCAGACAGCAUCGCCAUCCUCCGUGUUUACUCCAGCUAAAAGGCAGCGAAUGAAGGAGGAGUCCCACCGUCCUCCUUUUGUGUGCUCUGUCCAUUCUGGAUCCCCCUGCACCAAUCACAUUUAUCUAAAAAAAAAAAAAAAAAAAAGAAUGAGUCAAAACACACCUUGAGGCCAAUCAUGUGAAUGUCAAAACAAUUAUUUGAGACAAUGGACUGUGAAGUCCAAUUUAUGUAUCAAAAGAAGGCUUGUUCUCAGUGCUCUUUAAACAUGAAAAAAAAUACUUAUUAGGUUUUUCUUCCUUGUGUGUCCUAAAUCUGGCCGAGUUAAGUACACCUUCGUGUACCAGCCAAGGGGAUUGAGACUGAAGUUGAAAGGCCUUAACAGGAGCCUGGUACGCUACAAGCUGCUAAUACAAAGAGGAAGCAUGUGACACACCCUAAGCUAGGCUAAGUUGGACUUCAGAAGACCAUCAAACCCCCUUUUCUGUUACAUUUUCGAGCAGCUCAGACAAGCAACUUAAAAUAUUAUAGCAGGUCACCAAGUUCAGAAUUAGCCAAUAAUGCGUCCAUCUAGCUUAGAUCUAGCUUAAAUCAACAACCACUGCGCUAAUUACCAUUGUCUGAGCUAUUAACAAGCAUCACGUUAGCCUUGGCAUUUAGCAUUACUGUGUGAGGGUGCUCUCUGCCAGUGAGGAAAGAGUGGGGGCUGCAGGGAGUGGCUAACAGUAGAGGUUGGCGACAUAAAAGGCAGUUUCGGGUAUUGGUGUCGCUUUGAGUUAUUGGCAUCAUGGUCUUGUUUUGUUGAGAGGACUACAGUGAAUAAGCUUGUUAAUGGUAAAUUUACAGCCCCAGCAUGUGGCCUAAUAAAACCAGGGGAUAGAGAGGAUGAUGAGAAUGAUUGCCAUUGCCAUUUUGUGUGUGUGUGUUCAGGAGGGUGUGUGCGAUGGCGAUGAGGAGGGGGGUGUAGUUAGAGAAAAGGGAGAGAGAAAAGUGGAAGGCGCCGGUAAUUAAGAGUCUAAAAGAGUGUGAGAGAGGCGCACACUGCUCAAAGCAAACUUUGAGCCUGGAUUCCUCACUUUUUAUUUAUGCAUCCCGACUUGAACCCCCCUCCUCCAACUUCACUCUCUCCCCCCCGCUCUUUACUUGUCUCCCCUUGCUGAAUGAAUAGCUAUCGCAGUGCUACAGUGUCCCACACUGUCUAGCAACACCCUCCUGCAUCCUCCAACCUUUUUUCAACAGCACCCCCCUCCAGUAUGGUCCUGAAUAGGGAGCCGAAUUGAGCAAACAGUCAGGCUGUCAGCUCAAUAGGAGGUCUGGCCGUGAACUUGAAGUCCUUCCCAGGCCCCGAGCCUUACAUUAGGGUAGGAGGGGUGGAGAUGGUUGGGGAGACAAGAGACGGUGGGGUGGGGGGAUUGGUGGAGAUGGGGGUUUGCAGCCAGACUUUUGGGGGCCCCCUACGUGCCAGUGUUGGGGGGACCCCUGCCACCGAGGUUCCCAAGCCUGGUGCUCUUGCAGGAGCAAUGGGGGCAGGGUGCCCCAGCUGCCUGCUAACCCUCCCCUCCCCCUGUAGCACUCAGUCUGGGCAGGAGGGGUGCUGACGGUGGGGUUUGUGCAGGCGGGACAGUGUCUGCUCCCCUGCCAAAGCUCCUCUAGACCCUCACACACACUCGCACAAAGACGCACACAUGAAUACACCGAUCCAGACACAAGCCGUGCCCACCCCCUCUCCUCUAUCAGCUCGCAGGCCUCCCAGGCUUCUCAUCAUCUCAUUAGCCAACGCCAGCCACUCCACUGUCUACUGUUUGCAUUGUUUUGGGCUCUGCAUAAUUUACACAGUAAAUUGAGAAUGGCCUCGGCCCCCUUUGCUCAAUCUACCACCUGUUUAUAGAGGCCUGGCAGUGAUUAGUGCACUUUGCGUUUGACACAGUUACCACAAGACUUCUCAGGAAAGCCAAGCGACUCCUUCGCUUAAGGCGGCAUCGUCAAAUAUUCAAAUUAAUUAAGCUUAGUUUGACCUAAUUGGGGAACUGGAAUCAUUAACAGUGUAUUCUGUCUAAAUACAGAAAAUUAGCGAUUUAAUUUAAAGAACACACAUAUAUAUAUAUAUAAUUGAACAUUUUUGGCCAAAUUAUUUAAAAGAAAACAAAAUUUGAUGUUAAGAUGUUUCCUGUCUUUGCCAAGUCUCCUUUGCUGUUUUUACCUUGACUUGGGGGUUGUGGCAGUUUCUGUUAGCCCCAGGCAUCCUACUAUAAGUUACCAUUAGCACAGUCUCUCUGACCCACACGCCACAGACACAAACAAAGGGAGGUUUCUGUGUUAAGAUGACAAAAGUAAGCAUUGUUUACCAGCCAUCUUACUUAAUCAAGCCCAGCUAACCCUAAUUGGUGUUUUGGUUUAAGCGGUUUUCAACGUUGGGAGCUCCCCGGUUGAAGAAAUGCCGCACCACAACGAGCUCAUGCAAGGAGAACAAUACUCAACUUGUCUGAGCACCGACUGCCCUCCAAUACUCACCACUCACUUAAAGAGAGACUUUUCAGUACUAAAUCAUGCUCUUACAACUUCACCAUCUUGUCUUUAUUUUUUCUCUCUGCCUCUUUCUGCCUCUCUCCUGCUUUGUUUUGGGCUUUUUAUGUGCUGCAGUGUCCCUGUAAAAGACUAUGAAUCAUAACUUCCACUCAACCGAUGUUGCCCACCUUGACAUUUCUUUUGACCUCAUUUAAAGAGCUGAAGGGAGAUUUUUAGAAUUAUUUUAAAAAGCCAUACCUCUGUCACAGAUUACUGUCAAAAUCAUUAAAUAUUAUAUCACAGUUUUUUAGGUUCAGUGACUAAAAUUUUCUUACUAAGCUGCUCAACUUAUGGAGUAAUCAGCUGUGCUUGUCUGUCGUCCAGAAGGCACGGAUUGCAUCGUAGCUCCAAAAUGGCAGGCGCCGCCAUGUCGGGGCAGGCAUGUGAGGAUGGCAUCAGAAUUCCCAAACGGGAAAGAAAAACUUGCGCUUCGAGGACAGAUGCCCACUGAACGCCUCCUGAGAGAGGCAUUGAGAGCGGAGUGAUUUAAUGUGUACGCACAUACAAAACACGCUCCACCCACAUCAACCCUCCCCUCCUUCCCAUCAGCGCAUCUCAUGAGUCGUGCAAUUAACAAACGUAUCAGAGGCAAUUAAAACGGAGGGUAUAUCACGCCGGAGAAGGCGCGAGGGCACGGAGAGAUGGAGAUAUUGCGAUAUGAUGGAGAGUCAGGGAGGUGCCAAUAGAAAAAUGAAGCAUGGCGGGCGCAGUGGGUUUGGUGUGUUACCUGCACUGACUGGUCUUCCCACUUCCAUUUCAUGCCAGCGUUGCUCUAAGAUGGUGGCGCGGGCUGCGUUUCGCUGUACAGGAAAAAGGGGCAGUCUGCUGAGGAUGGAGUGGAUGAGGAAGGGAAGAGGAGGAGGGAAGAGGCAAUGCAGUGGAGGGCGAGGAGAGAGGGAGGGCAGAAUCAACAACAACCCCUCCUCCUUCUCUGUUUUUCAGUCUUCUUUUGCCAGCUUUCCUUCAGUAAUGUGGUAGCCUGCACAGAAAACAUAGAUGGAGAAAUCAGAGGGUAAAAUUGAACAUUUAAACUAUGUAGCUUAUCCACAAAAGCACACAUGUACAGUUCACAAAAAUAUACAAACACACGAAUGCACGCGCGCGCACACACACACACCUUUUCAUGUCUGUUCUCAUGGUACAGUCUGCCCCUGAGCAUGCAAAUGACUUUCAUUAUGUAAAUGCAUGCAAAUCAGAUCCAACCAUCUGAGAAUCAAGGGUGGGAAAGAAAAAAAAACUAGACACAGAGAUUGAAUAAAAGAAAGAAAGAGAAAAAGCGACAAGAGAAAAAUCCUUUUGAGUGGCAGGAGGCGGUAAGUUAGGUAAACGCUCUGCUGAAAACAACG
ensembl:lncRNA